rnacentral:rRNA from 1 species
ACUCCACACCAUCUGUUAACCUACCCAGUUAUGCCUCGGCGUAAGCUCGGCCGGAGGCAGUCCAGAGCUACCCUGUAGCGGCUUGGAGUUACCCUGUAGCGAGCUACCCUGUAGCGAGUUACCCUGUAGCGACCUGCUGCUACCCUGUAGCGAUGGCUGCACCACUCCGGCCGCGCCCGCCGGCGGUACACUAAACUAUGUUUUAUUUUAUCUUCUGAGCGUCUUAUUUUAAUAAGUUAAAACUUUCAACAACGGAUCUCUUGGUUCUGGCAUCGAUGAAGAACGCAGCGAAAUGCGAUAAGUAAUGUGAAUUGCAGAAUUCAGUGAAUCAUCGAAUCUUUGAACGCACAUUGCGCCCAUCAGUAUUCUGGUGGGCAUGCCUGUUCGAGCGUCAUUUCAACCCUUAAGCCUAGCUUAGUGUUGGGAAUCUACUGUACUGUAGUUCCUUAAAGACAGUGGCGGAGCGGCAGUGGUCCUCUGAGCGUAGUAAUUUAUUUCUCGCUUUUGUCAGGCCCUGUCCUCCCGCCAUAAAACCCCCAAUUUUUUAGUGGUUGACCUCGGAUCAGGUAGGAAUACCCGCUGAACUUAAGCAUAUCAAUAAGGCCCGGAGGAA